rfam:Agrobacterium tumefaciens str. C58 circular chromosome, complete sequence.
GCCCUUGUAGCUCAGUUGGUAGAGCACCUGAUUUGUAAUCAGGGGGUCACGAGUUCGAACCUUGUCGGGGGCA